rnacentral:rRNA from 1 species
AUACGUAGGUGGCAAGCGUUGUCCGGAAUUAUUGGGCGUAAAGCGCGCGCAGGUGGUUCCUUAAGUCUGAUGUGAAAGCCCCCGGCUCAACCGGGGAGGGACAUUGGAAACUGGGGAACUUGAGUGCAGAAGAGGAUAGUGGAAUUCCAAGUGUAGCGGUGAAAUGCGUAGAGAUUUGGAGGAACACCAGUGGCGAAGGCGACUGUCUGGGCUGUAAUGUACACUGAGGCGGGAAAGCGUUGGGGGCAAACAGGAUUAGAUACCCUGGUAGGCCACGCCGUAAACGAUGAGUGCGAAGUGUUGGGGGGUUUCCGCCCCUCAGUGCUGCAGCUAACGCAUUAAGCACUCCGCCUGGGGAGUACGGUCGCAAGACUGAAACUCAAAGGAAUUGGCGGGG